AGUCUCUCAUUGGGGGCCACUGAAGGAGCGUUCAUGUCGCGGUCCCUAUCAGGUGUUUUUGCACCUGCGAAUCCUUCA
rnacentral:ribozyme from 1 species